GACGAACGCUGGCGGCGUGCCUAAUACAUGCAAGUUGAGCGAUGAAGAUUGGUGCUUGCACCAAUUUGAAGAGCAGCGAACGGGUGAGUAACGCGUGGGGAAUCUGCCUUUGAGCGGGGGACAACAUUUGGAAACGAAUGCUAAUACCGCAUAACAACUUUAAACAUAAGUUUUAAGUUUGAAGGAUGCAAUUGCAUCACUCAAAGAUGAUCCCGCGUUGUAUUAGCUAGUUGGUGAGGUAAAGGCUCACCAAGGCGAUGAUACAUAGCCGACCUGAGAGGGUGAUCGGCCACAUUGGGACUGAGACACGGCCCAAACUCCUACGGGAGGCAGCAGUAGGGAAUCUUCGGCAAUGGACGAAAGUCUGACCGAGCAACGCCGCGUGAGUGAAGAAGGUUUUCGGAUCGUAAAACUCUGUUGGUAGAGAAGAACGUUGGUGAGAGUGGAAAGCUCAUCAAGUGACGGUAACUACCCAGAAAGGGACGGCUAACUACGUG
rnacentral:rRNA from 1 species